rnacentral:lncRNA from 1 species
ACUCUGGACUGCUGGAAAACCUGACACAACCUCAGCCAAUUUAAUCACCAUUGGAAUUGAGUUGUAGGCUCUUGUUUCAUGCAUACACCACCUCCAUUACACAGCACUUGCAGCAUUACAGAGGUA